rnacentral:rRNA from 1 species
ACUAAGCGUACACGGUGGAUGCCCUGGCAGUCAGAGGCGAUGAAGGACGUGCUAAUCUGCGAAAAGCGUCGGUAAGGUGAUAUGAACCGUUAUAACCGGCGAUGUCCGAAUGGGGAAACCCAGUGUGUUCCGACACACUAUCAUUAACUGAAUCCAUAGGUUAAUGAGGCGAACCGGGGGAACUGAAACAUCUAAGUACCCCGAGGAAAAGAAAUCAACCGAGAUUCCCCCAGUAGCGGCGAGCGAACGGGGAGGAGCCCAGAGCCUGAAUCAGUGUGUGUGUUAGUGGAAGCGUCUGGAAAGGCGCGCGAUACAGGGUGACAGCCCCGUACACAAAAAUGCACAUGCUGUGAGCUCGAUGAGUAGGGCGGGACACGUGGUAUCCUGUCUGAAUAUGGGGGGACCAUCCUCCAAGGCUAAAUACUCCUGACUGACCGAUAGUGAACCAGUACCGUGAGGGAAAGGCGAAAAGAACCCCGGCGAGGGGAGUGAAAAAGAACCUGAAACCGUGUACGUACAAGCAGUGGGAGCCCUGAUUUAUCAGGGUGACUGCGUACCUUUUGUAUAAUGGGUCAGCGACUUAUAUUCUGUAGCAAGGUUAACCGAAUAGGGGAGCCGGAGGGAAACCGAGUCUUAACUGGGCGUUAAGUUGCAGGGUAUAGACCCGAAACCCGGUGAUCUAGCCAUGGGCAGGUUGAAGGUUGGGUAACACUAACUGGAGGACCGAACCGACUAAUGUUGAAAAAUUAGCGGAUGACUUGUGGCUGGGGGUGAAAGGCCAAUCAAACCGGGAGAUAGCUGGUUCUCCCCGAAAGCUAUUUAGGUAGCGCCUCGUGAAUUCAUCUCCGGGGGUAGAGCACUGUUUCGGCAAGGGGGUCAUCCCGACUUACCAACCCGAUGCAAACUGCGAAUACCGGAGAAUGUUAUCACGGGAGACACACGGCGGGUGCUAACGUCCGUCGUGAAGAGGGAAACAACCCAGACCGCCAGCUAAGGUCCCAAAGUCAUGGUUAAGUGGGAAACGAUGUGGGAAGGCCCAGACAGCCAGGAUGUUGGCUUAGAAGCAGCCAUCAUUUAAAGAAAGCGUAAUAGCUCACUGGUCGAGUCGGCCUGCGCGGAAGAUGUAACGGGGCUAAACCAUGCACCGAAGCUGCGGCAGCGACGCUGAUGCGUUGUUGGGUAGGGGAGCGUUCUGUAAGCCUGUGAAGGUGUGCUGUGAGGCAUGCUGGAGGUAUCAGAAGUGCGAAUGCUGACAUAAGUAACGAUAAAGCGGGUGAAAAGCCCGCUCGCCGGAAGACCAAGGGUUCCUGUCCAACGUUAAUCGGGGCAGGGUGAGUCGACCCCUAAGGCGAGGCCGAAAGGCGUAGUCGAUGGGAAACAGGUUAAUAUUCCUGUACUUGGUGUUACUGCGAAGGGGGGACGGAGAAGGCUAUGUUGGCCGGGCGACGGUUGUCCCGGUUUAAGCGUGUAGGCUGGUUUUCCAGGCAAAUCCGGAAAAUCAAGGCUGAGGCGUGAUGACGAGGCACUACGGUGCUGAAGCAACAAAUGCCCUGCUUCCAGGAAAAGCCUCUAAGCAUCAGGUAACAUCAAAUCGUACCCCAAACCGACACAGGUGGUCAGGUAGAGAAUACCAAGGCGCUUGAGAGAACUCGGGUGAAGGAACUAGGCAAAAUGGUGCCGUAACUUCGGGAGAAGGCACGCUGAUAUGUAGGUGAAGCGACUUGCUCGUGGAGCUGAAAUCAGUCGAAGAUACCAGCUGGCUGCAACUGUUUAUUAAAAACACAGCACUGUGCAAACACGAAAGUGGACGUAUACGGUGUGACGCCUGCCCGGUGCCGGAAGGUUAAUUGAUGGGGUCAGCGCAAGCGAAGCUCUUGAUCGAAGCCCCGGUAAACGGCGGCCGUAACUAUAACGGUCCUAAGGUAGCGAAAUUCCUUGUCGGGUAAGUUCCGACCUGCACGAAUGGCGUAAUGAUGGCCAGGCUGUCUCCACCCGAGACUCAGUGAAAUUGAACUCGCUGUGAAGAUGCAGUGUACCCGCGGCAAGACGGAAAGACCCCGUGAACCUUUACUAUAGCUUGACACUGAACACUGGUCCUUGAUGUGUAGGAUAGGUGGGAGGCUUUGAAGUGUGGACGCCAGUCUGCAUGGAGCCGUCCUUGAAAUACCACCCUUUAAUGGCUGGUGUUCUAACGUUGGCCCCUUACCGGGGUUGCGGACAGUGUCUGGUGGGUAGUUUGACUGGGGCGGUCUCCUCCUAAAGAGUAACGGAGGAGCACGAAGGUUGGCUAAUCCUGGUCGGACAUCAGGAGGUUAGUGCAAUGGCAUAAGCCAGCUUGACUGCGAGCGUGACGGCGCGAGCAGGUGCGAAAGCAGGUCAUAGUGAUCCGGUGGUUCUGAAUGGAAGGGCCAUCGCUCAACGGAUAAAAGGUACUCCGGGGAUAACAGGCUGAUACCGCCCAAGAGUUCAUAUCGACGGCGGUGUUUGGCACCUCGAUGUCGGCUCAUCACAUCCUGGGGCUGAAGUAGGUCCCAAGGGUAUGGCUGUUCGCCAUUUAAAGUGGUACGCGAGCUGGGUUUAGAACGUCGUGAGACAGUUCGGUCCCUAUCUGCCGUGGGCGCUGGAGAACUGAGGGGGGCUGCUCCUAGUACGAGAGGACCGGAGUGGACGCAUCACUGGUGUUCGGGUUGUCAUGCCAAUGGCACUGCCCGGUAGCUAAAUGCGGAAGAGAUAAGUGCUGAAAGCAUCUAAGCACGAAACUUGCCCCGAGAUGAGUUCUCCCUGAGACUUUAAGUCUCCUGAAGGAACGUUGAAGACGACGACGUUGAUAGGCCGGGUGUGUAAGCGCAGCGAUGCGUUGAGCUAACCGGUACUAAUGAACCGUGAGGCUUAACC